UCGAAACACCGGCUCUCGUACGAUCACCGAAAUUAAGCAACGUUGAACCUGGACAAUACUUAGAUGGGUGACCGCACGGGAAUACCAGGUGCUGCAAG